CUCUUUCAAUUUGUCUUUUAGUUUGGAAUGUGGAAUACUUGUGUAAAGAGAAGAAAAGUCAAAUGUUUUAAUACUGUUACAAGAUGAAAGAGAGUUAGAUUGUAUGUACUCUGACUAGAAGAUCUUUGGAAUUUUUAAGUAUCCACAUCUGAUUCACGCCACCUCUAGAAUAGGCCGUUUUACAAUAACUUUGAAGCCUGUCUUUG
rnacentral:lncRNA from 1 species